UACGGAGGGGACUAGCGUUGUUCGGAAUUACUGGGCGUAAAGCGCACGUAGGCGGAUUUGUAAGUCAGGGGUGAAAUCCCGAGGCUCAACCUCGGAACUGCCUUUGAUACUGCGAAUCUCGAGUCCGGAAGAGGUGAGUGGAAUUCCUAGUGUAGGGGUGAAAUUCGUAGAUAUUAGGAAGAACACCAGUGGCGAAGGCGGCUCACUGGUCCGGUACUGACGCUGAGGUGCGAAAGCGUGGGGAGCAAACAGG
rnacentral:rRNA from 1 species